AAUUUAAUUGAUACUUAUCUUCGUUUUUCUACAAUAAACUUCCCUGGAUAUCCUAAGUUAAAUAGGAAAAGAAAUUUAAUUUGUUUGAUAGUAAAACUCGAUUUGACUAUCCAGUUGUAGUUUAGAUCAAUGGAAGAAUUAAACCUGAUUUCCACACUCUGUUAUUUCUUUAUCAAUUUUUGGUAACAAGCGCUAUCAUCCUGUACUCGUUUCGUGUUGUCCAGCUCUGUGUAGCUAGGGGGUGAUUUUCUCUUUCCAACCUCUUCGUAUGAUGACUCUGCUUCAGUAUUAGCAGAUAUUACAUAAUCUGAGUCGCGUUUUAACAAUUUCUGGUAGAGGCCAUCAUUUGUUGCUUUGUCUUGUCGGUUAAUUCUGUCAAGCUCAGCGUAAACAGAAGGUGGCGAGAUUUGGAC